rnacentral:lncRNA from 1 species
UUUAAUUCACAUCGAUGCCCACUUUAUGUUGUCUGGAAGAUGAGGGAGGUGGUUUUUUUUUCUUGGCUGUUCCCACUUUAUGUUGUCUGGAAGAUGAGGGAGGUGGUUUUCUUUUCUUGGCUGUUAUAUCACUUAUCAUCUUUUACUUUUCUUUUUUUUUUUCUUUCUGUUUGUUUUUCUUUUCAAUUUUAUUUCAUAGUUUUUAUUUUCCAACUAGAAAAUUGUUGGCUAAUCAGAUUGGCACGAUCUUACAGUUUAGGUGGUUCUAUAUCGAUUAGUAAAUGGUUUCAGUAAUUUGGAUCCUCUAUUUGCUUUCUAUGAUAUUUGGAUGUAAUUACGUAUGUUGCUAAGCUGCAUUAGUUACCUCCUUAUCAUUUCUCAUGUUCUCAUGUUAGUCAAGACUAAGCUUGCUUCGGUUCUUAGCCUGUUUUGUUUAUAGGUCUUUCGAGAGCGCAUGCAAGAAAUCUGAUUUACGAUUAACCCUUUGAGU